GAUCAUUAUGGUAGCCACUAGACCUGUGGCAACUGAAUAUUUGAAAUGUGUCUUGGUUUCUGUAGCUGAAUUCUGAUGGACGGAAGAUAGUUUCAUUUUAUAUUUUCCCUUUAUACUGGAAGAGAACAAGGAGGGAGCAAAAAAGCAUGUGCCACAUUGUCAAAUUGCUAACUUUACAUUUUCUCUGAGCUGAACAGAUGACAGGAUCUCAUAACCAGCUAAAUAUGGAACACGAUAUGAUGCUAAAUUGAGUGCAAGCCUACAACUGCUUUAAGGACAAAUAUAUACAGUAAUGUUGAAAAAGUC